rnacentral:lncRNA from 1 species
AUUCUUUAGUAAAUGGUGAUUAACACAGAUUUUCCCACCCAUUCUGAGAAGUCGAUCUAGGGCUUAGGAUCUGAACAAGUUGCUUUGCAUAGGCUCUGCUCUGAAGACUGAGGUGGGUCUGCCACUCUGUAGGCUGAAACACGAGCUCUGGAGACUGUCAUUUGCACUUGUGUCUAGAAGUGCCUGUCUUCUGACUAUCGUAUUCUUCCAUGGAGCACCGGGGUGGCAGAUCUCCAGGAGAACCCAUUCUGCCUUUCAUUGAGGUUGCCUUCCAUCCUGGAGUCAAGUUCUGCCCAACAUCACAGGAUUUAGUUGCCUCCUUCACUCCUUUUUGGCUACUAGGCUACUAUUCUAUAUACUAAGUAUCGCACUCUGAGUCUUCCUGGCCAAUAUAACUGGAUUGAGAAGCACCUAAAAGAUAGAUCUUUGGAACCUUCAUGAAACUACUUCCAUGUUGGAAUGUGGAAUUUGGGGAACUUGAAUCUGUAUUUCCUGGCUGUGACCACUCUCAUAUUUUGCUCCAGAAUAAACUAUCUCCUAUCUCUUUUGAGCCCUGCUCUGUAACUUACAUAAAAGUAAUGGCUGACGUAUUCCACAACCAGAACCAUUGUAGCUGUCUUCAAAUGCUUGAAUGGAGAAGGAUCCUGGGCCUCAGUAGAACAGUGGGAUGAGAAAGCUAACUUAGUUCAUCCAUCUGUGCUUGUCUACCAUGAUACCCAACAAACAACACACCGUUUGCACCAUUUGAAACUGCCCAACACACGAGUCCUCUCUGUAUUCCCCAAACUUCAUUUAUUCCACACAGAAUCUCUGGACUCAUUAAACAGUACCAGUGCCUGGGCCAGCAAGAUGGAUGGCUUGGUGGGUAAAGGUGCCUGCUACAGAGCCUGAGGAUGCCAGCCCAACCCCUGGAACCCACACGGUGGAAGAAAACUAACUUUAACAAGCUGUCUUUUGAUGUCCACAUGUGAGUUGAGGUGUGAGCCCCCCUCCUUAGCUAAACAGACCUAUGUAAUAAAAAAGUAAUUCAAACCAACAACUCUGGUGAUUUUCUGUUUCUGUCUCUCUAGCUGAGUCCACUCAGAUCUACUUCCUGUCUCUGACUAUACCUAUUCCAGGCACUCUGUGCAAUUAUGGAUACUGGUCCUCUUG